rnacentral:rRNA from 1 species
UACGAAGGGGGCUAGCGUUGCUCGGAAUCACUGGGCGUAAAGCGCACGUAGGCGGCUUUCUAAGUCAGGGGUGAAAUCCUGGAGCUCGACUCCAGAACUGCCUUUGAUACUGGAAAGCUUGAGUUCGGGAGAGGUGAGUGGAACUGCGAGUGUAGAGGUGAAAUUCGUAGAUAUUCGCAAGAACACCAGUGGCGAAGGCGGCUCACUGGCCCGAUACUGACGCUGAGGUGCGAAAGCGUGGGGAGCAAACAGG